rnacentral:rRNA from 1 species
GAUGAACGCUGGCGGCGUGCUUAACACAUGCAAGUCGAACGGUGAAGCAGAGCUUGCUCUGUGGAUCAGUGGCGAACGGGUGAGUAACACGUGAGCAACCUGCCCCUGACUCUGGGAUAAGCGCUGGAAACGGCGUGUAAUACUGGAUAUGAGCUGCGACCGCAUGGUCAGCAGUUGGAAAGAUUUUUCGGUCUGGGAUGGGCUCACGGCCUAUCAGCUUGUUGGUGAGGUAAUGGCUCACCAAGGCGUCGACGGGUAGCCGGCCUGAGAGGGUGACCGGCCACACUGGGACUGAGACACGGCCCAGACUCCUACGGGAGGCAGCAGUGGGGAAUAUUGCACAAUGGGCGAAAGCCUGAUGCAGCAACGCCGCGUGAGGGAUGACGGCCUUCGGGUUGUAAACCUCUUUUAGCAGGGAAGAAGCGAAAGUGACGGUACCUGCAGAAAAAGCGCCGGCUAACUACGUG